rnacentral:rRNA from 1 species
AUUCCCCUAGUACGGGCGACGGAAGCGGGAAAAGCCCACAGUGGUAAUCUCCAUUCUUCGAAUGGCGAAUUGUAAUCUGAAGGCAGCUAGCCUGAGUAGACCGUUUGGACGCAGAAGUCUCGAGGAGUCGAGCGCCAAAGAGGGUGAGAGCCCCGUCUGUGGUGUCCGAAUGCUGCAAAGGCUGGUAGUCUAAGAGUCGUGUACUUUGAUACUAGUGCACAAAGCGGGAGAUAAACUUCUUCUAAGGCUAAAUAAACGUAGGAGACCGAUAGCGAACAAGUACUGUGAAGGAAAGAUGAAAAGCACUUUGGAGAGAGCGUCAAAAGACUUGAAAUCGUUGAGGCGGACCCGGUAGAAAUGAAUUCUGGGGGCGUCCACUGGGAAGCCUGCGACAGCGGGCCACUUGUGAGCGUCAGCACGGCAAGAUGGAGUCGUUUGAUGCCAGAGGCGGUGCUCUUCGUGCUUCGGUACGUGAGUGUUGGCCGGGUGUCGAGCGGCUUGAGGGGCUUUGUGCGAUCUUGCCAAAAUGGUUUUUACCGACUCGUCUUGAAACACGAACCAAGGAGUCUAAGACUAACGCGAGUGUGGUGGUGGAGAAACCAACACGCGAAAUGAAAGUGAAUGAUGCCAAGUUUACGCAGCAUCGACCGACUUGCGUCUAUAGGCGGAGGUUUGAGUAAGAGCGUUAUUCUUAGGACCCGAAAGAUGGUGAACUAUGCCUGUGUAGGGUGAAGUCAGGGGAAACUCUGAUGGAGGCUCGUAGCGAUACUGACGUGCAAAUCGUUCGUCGAACAUGGGUAUAGGGGCGAAAGACUAAUCGAACCAUCUAGUAGCUGGUUCCCUCCGAAGUUUCCCUCAGGAUAGCUGGGACAAGUACGCAGUUUUAUUAGGUAAAGCGAAUGAUUAGAGGCAUCGGGGAUAACAUGUCCUUGACCUAUUCUCAAACUUUAAAUUGGUAAGAACUCUCGUCUUUUCUUGGAUGAAGCGGGAGGUUCAAUGCGUGUCCUUAGUGGGCCAUUUUUGGUAAGCAGAACUGGCGAUGAGGGUUGCUCCUAACGUCGGGUUAAGGUGCCAAACUACACGCUCAUCAGAAACUACAAAGGGUGUUAGUUCAUCCAGACAGCAGGACGGUGGCCAUGGAAGUCGGAACCCGCUAAGGAGUGUGUUACAACUCACCUGCCGAAUGGACUAGUCCCGAAAAUGGAUGGCGCUAAAGCGUGUGACCGAUACCCGACCAUUGGCGCGAGAGUGAGGUGCCAAUGAGUAGGAGGGCGUGAGCGUCGUGGCGAAGCCUCUGGCGUGAGCCUGGGUUGAACGGCGUUUAGUGCAGAUCUUGGUGGUAGUAGCAAUUAUUCAAAUGAGAACUUUGAAGGCCGACGUGGAGAAGGUUUCUGGCGACAACAGCAAUUGGUCCCAGGUGACUCGAUCCUAAGACAUGGGGGAAAUCCUUGUUAAGUGUGCGCUUUCGCACGUAGUCGAAAGGGGAUGAGGUUAAUAUUCCUCAAGCUGGAUUGUGGCCGCUAGAUGGCAACAUGAACGAGCUUGGAGACGCCGGCGUGAGCCUCUGGAAGAGUUCUCUUUUCUUUUUAACAGACCAGUGUCCCUGAAAUUGGUUUACCCAGAGAUAGGGAGACAUGUCUGGAAGAGCACCUUGCUUUUCGGGGUGUCAGGUGCGCUCAUGACGGUCCGUGAAAAUCCA